rnacentral:rRNA from 1 species
CGGCGGACGGGUGAGUAACACGUGGAUAACCUGCCUUAUACUGGGGGAUAACAGCCAGAAAUGACUGCUAACACCGCAUAAGCGCACAGGGCCGCAUGGCCCGGUGUGAAAAACUCCGGUGGUAUGGGAUGGGCCCGCGUCUGAUUAGCCAGUUGGCGGGGUAACGGCCCACCAAAGCGACGAUCAGUAGCCGACCUGAGAGGGUGACCGGCCACAUUGGGACUGAGACACGGCCCAAACUCCUACGGGAGGCAGCAG